GACUAACAGCAGGAAAAGCUUAGCUCAUAGCAAAUUCAGAUCCUAAAAUAUACACCUGUUUUACCAUUACUAUAAUCAAAAGCUGUUGAUUGUCUGAUGUUCAGAACUGCAUCUGAGAGGAAAAGUUCAAGUUGAUGAGUCAAAUGAAAGCUGAUAAUUUAAAAGAUUAAAUGUUGGGAUUUCCCAACCAAGACCAGAAAAGCUAGGUUGAGACAUGGAGCACAAUACUUUUUUUUUGUGUUAAAUAUUAUCAGUUUCUUGUAGCUGUGGGUGGCAGAGAACCUGUGAUACUCAUGGGUAAAGCUACUUCUAUCCCACACUGAUGUGUUUACUUCCAGCUCCUAAUGAUGGGGCUGAAGCCUUAGGAUUCAAUAGUGCCAUUAGAUUAACAAUGUCACACAGGGAAUACAUUAACGUCAACUUUCCAUUUCUCUACAGGAAUGAGGAAUUCCUCAUUCUGAAUUCCUGCAAAACACCGUCCCUCUUUUCAGGGUGCACAGUUCUGAAAUAUCCAGUUCGAAGUGGAAAAAGGUGACUGUUGUUAUGGUAAAGGAACAUGAUAGAACAGAGUGGAUAUUGGAGAAGAUAUUUCAACCAGUUUACUGAUGAAAUAGAAAGUUUCUCUCUUUGGAGUGGAUUUGGGGCAGAAUAUCUGGUUGCAAUUUUGGUUACAGAAUACCAAGCAAACCAAGCAAACUGCAACUAUGGAGUCUGAAAAGCCAUCACAAAGUCCACAAAAUGUACCAAAUUCCCCUAAUCUGUCUUCUCUUUAUUACACUGGGACCCUUUAGGAGCUCAGAAGGGAACUGGUAUUUGGUGGAAUCUGAAGGUGUGGUGACUUAGAGCCAGGAGGCAGUGUGUGUCUGCAAUCAGUGGGCCCUGAGGAAUUAUCGCAAAAGUCAGGAUGAGAGAGGAACAGGCCUUCCUGGAGCUUACCAGCUGUGAGAACAGUACACACCUAGGAGCCGAGAAGUGAGAAAUGGAAGAUUGUGCUCUGAAAGCAGAGCCCCUCCUGCUCCUGAGUAAAUGGACAAAACUGCAAUUCUGGAUUUCUAAGGCUGAAAGACAUACCUGCACCAGUUAUUCCUCCACCUUGAGAUUAUGAGUCUUCUUGGAAUGUUUUUUUAAAGGCCUAUGUGGAUCUCAGUAACAACACAAUAAACAUUU